UGGGGAAUAUUGCACAAUGGGCGCAAGCCUGAUGCAGCAACGCCGCGUGAACGAUGAAGGUCUUCGGAUUGUAAAGUUCUGUCCUUGGGGAAGAAGAAUGUGACGGUACCCUUGGAGGAAGCCCCGGCUAACUACGUGCCAGCAGCCGCGGUAAUACGUAGGGGGCGAGCGUUAUCCGGAAUUAUUGGGCGUAAAGAGUACGUAGGUGGUUUUGUAAGCGCGGGGUGAAAGGCAGUGGCUUAACCAUUGUUAGCCUUGCGAACUGCAAGACUUGAGUGCAGGAGAGGAAAGCGGAAUUCCUAGUGUAGCGGUGAAAUGCUUAGAUAUUAGGAGGAACACCAGUGGCGAAGGCGGCUUUCUGGACUGUAACUGACACUGAGGUACGAAAGCGUGGGGAGCAAACAGG
rnacentral:rRNA from 1 species